AAAGUUUGGCACUGCUGUGAAUAGUUUAGUCGCAAAGUGAAGAUUCACUGGUAAAAAGCCCCAAACUGUGAGAUUGGUUCAUUUUCAGCUUUCAGCAGCCCUGGGAGAGUUCGUUAGAGAAAUGGGUCUCUUUUUUGGUGCACUUGUCUAUGUCCAGCUACACAAGGAGAUGAGGAUGGUCAUUGUCAUUUUCUGAGCUGCGAACGGGCAGAAAGCUAGAAAAGGAUAUGACGAUGGUCAUUGUCAUUUUGUGAGCUGUAAACGGGCAGAAAGCUUACCUGUGCAAAUUGUGUCAUCUGCCAUUCCCUUCAAGCUUCGAUGAACGUGGCUUCAUAGCAUGUUUGCACACUCUUGCCAAAUCACAAUAACCCUAACUGCGGCGUGACAGAAAGCUACGGAUGUACAUAUCCGGUAGCAGCUCAAACAAUGCAGCAGCCAGCAUUCUGCUGGUAUAUGCGAGCAACGGUUGCUGUUGGAAUUGUCCUGAGCAGAGAAUCGCUUUCCUGAGCUUAGUGACCUACCGUGUAUCACAUGAUCAGUACAGCCGCUAGACCUGUGUUGACGGAUGCAGGAGUUCACCUGCCAAGUUGUCACUAUAGAUCUUUGAGGGUAUCAUGGAUAUGGAUCCUGCUCCUGCAACAUUUCCCGCGUUGAUGGCCGCUUAGUAGCAGGCCAGUAGCUACCCCAGCAGAUAUAGCAGCUGAGCCCGCCAUCGCUAACACUGCAACGGACACAGAAGUAAGAGCAGCUGCCAUUGCAGCUAGCACUGCAGCAGACACAGCGGCAAGAGAAGUUGCCAUGGCAGCAACACACUCUGCAUCUGCUGCACCAGACACUGAGUGCAUUAGUUUGAAAACCAGUGGACACACUGCUCACAGCAGCAAUGCCAAGCAUCAGUCAGAGUGGCUCAGUCUUCAGCAGCAGCAGCAGCAGCAGCAGCCUGCAGUGCACUUUACAAAGUGAGCACCUUAAAAAAACAAGUACUAGUAAUCUGAUUUAUUUCGAAUAUGAUUAUUAUUGAAAAAAACGAGCGCGUACUCGAAUCCAAUAUUCGGUAUAAUUGUCUCACCCCUAACGAUAAAUAUAUCCAGCAAGUGAAGCCAUUGCCCACAAGAAUUGGGCAUUUUCUAUACAGCAUACGCCCCAGCAGCGAAUCAUCCAGGAACAGAAUGUCCUCCAUUGCAUCUUCAUUGUUGUUUUACAUGGUACAUGCAUUUACCACAGAAAUCUUCAGUUUCAGAGCAGCAGUCAGUAGAUAUUGAAAUGAAGACUGUUCGGUGAACAUGAUCUCAGUGCCAACUUUCACCCCUAUUUAUCGUACUUGUUUUUAAUGUCCUGUAUUGAUAUCUACAGUGUACA